rnacentral:lncRNA from 1 species
CCCAUAAUUGCAGAAAAAGGUUGCAUCCCUCGAAAAACAUUCGACCAUCGACGCAUGCUGACAGACUCCUCAUUAUUUCCGCCAAGAUCAUGGGUACUAGGGUUUUCCUAGGUUCGCCCUCUCUUUGGCCUAAAUCUCGAACCACAUAACCCAAGCGUGUAUCAAUCAUUCCCCUUAUCUUAGGAAAAACCAGGGAUCCUAAUAGGGCAAUGGCAAAGGCAUUUAGGCGAUAUGUUUCCCAUUCCUCGACGGAGCAUUCAAACCUAUCAAUAAAAGAGUAAUAACUAUCAUCUCGGCCAAAGCGUGAAUACAGAAAGUCGAA